rnacentral:rRNA from 1 species
CUAUAAUGCAGUCGANNAGUUCUGAUUAUUGAAAGGUGCUUGCAUCUUGAUUUAAUUUUGAACGAGUGGCGGACGGGUGAGUAACACGUGGGUAACCUGCCCUUAAGUGGGGGAUAACAUUUGGAAACAGAUGCUAAUACCGCAUAAAUCCAAGAACCGCAUGGUUCUUGGCUGAAAGAUGGCGUAAGCUAUCGCUUUUGGAUGGACCCGCGGCGUAUUAGCUAGUUGGUGAGGUAACGGCUCACCAAGGCAAUGAUACGUAGCCGAACUGAGAGGUUGAUCGGCCACAUUGGGACUGAGACACGGCCCAAACUCCUACGGGAGGCAGCAGUAGGGAAUCUUCCACAAUGGACGCAAGUCUGAUGGAGCAACGCCGCGUGAGUGAAGAAGGCUUUCGGGUCGUAAAACUCUGUUGUUGGAGAAGAAUGGUCGGCAGAGUAACUGUUGUCGGCGUGACGGUAUCCAACCAGAAAGCCACGGCUAACUACGUGCCAGCC